AGCCCACGUCCUUAUGUUUCUUCUUCCUUUUACGCCCGACGAGAUUUUCAGAAAUUUAGUGUGUCGUUUCGAUCUCCAUAACGACUCAAAAUCAAUCAGAUAUUGACGGUUUAUUCUCCACAAAAGUUACAAAUUAAUGGCUCCAGUUAACCUUUACAGCUUCUUUACUUUAUAGUAUCAGUUUCCGUUUCGUACUCCUAUUAUAACAGUUCCAGUUUCAAACCUUCAAUCAUCCUUUUCACCUCGAUAUUUUGGAGAACCCAUCACCUCGAUCAUCACUGAAAGAUUUUUCAGAGAAUCAAAGACAACUUUAGCUUUUCGGUAUUACUAGCAACGACGAGGAUGGUGAGUACUUUCUUCGCCAACUGAAAUUAGAAGAUUCCUGCAGAUAGAGUCAUGAUGCAAUCAUGCAAAACGAUGGGUCUCUGAUAUUCAUAACUACGAUGAUAAACUCUCCAAGGCGGUUAAGCUGUUAGGGGUAUUCUCGAAGGAUUGAACACCAGCAAGCAGUUAUAGAGACUGCAAUGCUCAACGAGAAGAGUGUUAAGGGACCAUUAUAUAUUUUUACUGAUUUUUUUCUGUGUUAAUAGCUUCACUAUUGAUGUAUAUUCACAGAUGGAUUGACAUAUCAUAUAAAGUUUGACCCUGCCUCAAACUGAGAUUGUGUAAUGAAGGUGAGGACAAAAAAUCUUCAGAUACAAAAGAAACCUCAAAGUUGGGGAAAGACGGAAAGAGGUGGAUCUUGCUCAAUUCCUGCUUGAUGAUAUCAUGAGAAUGGGUUAACAUGAUGAGGCGUCAAAGCCUUGAACUCCGUAUCUCGGCAAACAUAGAGACAAAUCGGAUGAUCGUUCAAUAUCAAAGACAUCAGUCGUGGUCAUUUAGACAGAAGAAGUUUCAUAUCUGAUAGAAUGUCCACACCGAAGUUUCAUAUCUGAUAGCAGGAGCUUGUGUUUGGUCUCUCUCUGACAAUGAUGAUCUUGUUGAAGAGAUGACUAGGCGCUCAGCUCACAAGAAUAUUGCAGAGAAAUUCAAUGCAUCGAUGUUAAGGAAUCAGCUACAAUAUGUAAUAACAACAACCCCUGCGAGCUAGCAGAACCUGAGGAUGGCAAUGGUGAAACAGAUGUCGGCAAAAAAGUUAGGUUGAGAAGUUGUAACCACGGAGAGACUGCCAGGCCUGAUCACUCCACCAGAAGACCUAUGGCGGAAUUCCUCGGAAUACGAAAGAGUCACAAGAUUGUGUUUUCUGAUUUGGAGUUCGGUUCUAGAGUGUCGAGGAAUGAUUAUGUGUCUUCUUGCGGGAGCGAUUAUACUUGCGUUCAGAGCAUCAGAACGCUAUUGGAGCUAAGUUAAUGGACUUAAAAAAGUUAAGGGUGGAAGCUUGCGCACAUAACUACAUCUUCCACGAUUUUAAAGCAUCUGAAAUAGUAAUGUUUCGUCUUCACCUUAAGUCUUUAAUUUUCUUAUGUAACUUUGUACUUAAUGUACUAUUAUUAGAUCAAUCUUCAGUGUUGAAUAUAUAAGCAGGCAACGAUAUUUUCGUGAUAAAUUUUCUUUUUAAUUUUAAAUAUCGCAUUACACGUAAUAUAGUAGUAACCUGCAUAAAGUCUGAUUCUCCAUCUGAUUGGGUAUUUGAAUCUUACUGCUUUGUUUUCUAUCUGGUCUCGAGCACAAUAUCAUGUUUCUUGUGCAUGCAUGGGUCCAUGAAUGGCCUGCGUGAGUCUCAUGGUCCCAUUAUAUAUAUCCUUAUGUUCACUUUCCCAUUUUCUGCCAAUAGCUUCAUUUCCUGCUCAAAAAGAUAUACCCGCUGGCGCAUUACAAGAGAGAAGCACAAGUUCUAACUUCUAAGUGAGUUCUUCUUUGCUUACUCUUUUUUUUUUGAGAAAAUUAUUUACUUACCACUAGAAGAUCCACAUCGACUAAAGACAAUGAAACAUUGUGAGUGGAAUGGUUCACCGGGAAGGAGCUAGCUUCUCGAACAAUAGAGAAAAUCUUCAGAGCCAAGCUGGUGUAGAAACCGUUGUCAUAGUCAGCAGCUAUCAUAGAUCCCCUUCAUAUACUCGCUAUCCCCUAAAAAUGCAAAUCUUGAUCAUGAAUCUAGCAGUUCAAGCUCCUCGCUGCUACACACCACCAAACAGUUCACUGCCUCCCCUACACCGACAAACACACCAAUCUAAACACCUUUGGUGUUCGCAAGCUGGAAGAGAAGACAUGUAACCCCUAUAGGAGCACACUGAGACAUGUCCUCAGCGGUACCAGACAUGCAUGAGAGAAGAGACACCGCUACUACGAGGAAAAAUCGAGAAGAUGAGGGACUCUAGAUCCGCCACAUCAAACUGUUCCAAAUAAAAAUCUUAUAUCCGCAUAUGAAAAACAUAGAGGAGAAACGAAAGGAGAUGAAAUCAGACCUUCAUGGCUCUGGAAAUUUAUGAGCCAAAGGAUGACAUUCAGUGGAAAAUAUUUAUUUUUAGAGAGAGGCUUCUAGUGUCAUUUUCUUGUACUAGUAUAAAUCUAAAUACUACAUUAUCCAGGUUUGUGUCAUAAAAGAAUUAAUGUUCCUUAAAAAAAGAAAAAAAAAUAUUUUUGAAUUGAAAAUAAACUGAGGAUGUUGCGAUAAAAUAUUUCAUAGUAUUUGGAAAACAGAAUCAAAAAUUCCUUAAUUUUGUAAUGAGAAUGUCCGUGAAUAAACACAGUAGUUAAUGUAAUGUAAUUUUUUUUUUGGAAUUUUACAUAUAUAGGCUGAGUCAUCAUCCAUGUAAGCAAUGGAGUUUUAACACUGAUGCUCAGUCAGCAUUCACAAUAGCAAAAAGGAUUCAGACUAUACUAGUGGAAAAGACGAAGCACACGUGUCUAAGACUCGAACUCUCCGGAGCGGAUACAAUAUACGGGAAAGGCACUUGGCAUCACUGUCGUUUUGUUAUUUCCUUCAUUGAUGGCUCACCCCUUGGGUUUGCAAAUUGCAAUGGUAAAAAUCCUCUAACUUCACACCGCCAUUGGCUUUCGAGGGUUUGACGGAAAUGAAGCGACCGAGGAGGAGUGGCGGAGCGAGCGGCGCAGGAACCAACCGGUAUCGGGGUAUCUCUAACUCUCCGAGCAGUACUUAGGGUUUAAGCAGCCUGACUCGGUCUACAGUUUCUCUGAUGUUCUUGAGAGAUGUAAACAGGAAGAAGUUGCGAGCAAGGCAAGAUAUUUUGACAAGAUGAAAAGUGAAGCCGAGAAUUGCAGCUUAACGCAAGGUGAUAAACUCUGCAAUGAGAAAAAAUGGAGUUUGAGGGUGCAACUUAUACAAAGGCAUGUCCUUCAUUGCUUAAACUAGAAUGCUUGGCUUUUCUAGUCUGUGUUUUAGCACCUAUCUUAGUUGCUUUUUAAUGGCUGUGUACCUUCAAAGAAGGCAAUAACAAGAAGAAGCAGCAGAGCUCGUGGGAGGAAGAGAGCUGCACAAGAGAUUCCCCUGCCUUGAUAAUUUAGAUUUUGCAGAAGAAGAAUGGCUGAAGAACAACUUUACCAGCAGAUGUACCAGCUAGGAGAUGUGCUCAACGAAGCCACUGAUAGCUUGAUUUUUCAGGGUCUGAUCCAUGAACGACAUGUUCAACUCCUACAUGCUGCUGGAAUAUCUAGCUACACUUUGCUGAUAACCCAUAUGAGAGCCGGUUCUUAGUUUUUUUAGUUAAAAGUUAAGAGACGGAUUCUUAUAUUCCGCUAAGAAUCCCACCCUAAGAAUCCUCCAAUAAUCAUGCUCUUAGCUUCAGCCACACUCAACAUCAUAGUUGAAGAAACAGACCGCAUUAGGGAUUUGAGAACCGCUGAAAAGAACCUCCAGACUACUGCCUCCAACAUUGGGAAAACGGAUCAAAGGCACAAUUUGAACAAAAACAAGAAGAGAAUUGAGGAGCUGACUACCGCUCUCGCCUUGCGUCCAGACACUGCUGCCAACGUUGGUCAGAGAGCGCACUGGACGAGGGAGAAAGAGGCUUGUGAAACACGUGUAGCUAACAUGGAGCAGAACAACUGACCAACCCCCACGUAUGCAUUUCUAAAAAGAAUAUACGAUGCAUCUCUAGACUUUUAAGAAAAAUUCCUUCUAUGCAAAAUGUUGAGAAUGUUUUAGCUUUGUGAUUGUACGGUUCCAACAAGGUAUUUGCAUUGUGGGUUGUGGCUUGGAACCAUUCCCACUUGUGAAUCCGUUUUACAAGGAUUUAGACAUGAACCAUAUUUUUACAUUCUUUUUUUUCUUCUUAAAACAAGUUGAACAUAUAGUUUCAUACCCUCAAAUUUGAACAUGUAUCAAACCCAUGAUUCAGGUAUUAAAUAUCUAUGUUUCAAGAUUAAA